GACAGGUGCUGCAUGGCUGUCGUCAGCUCGUGUCGUGAGAUGUUGGUUAAGUCCCGCAACGAGCGCAACCCUUGUCUCUAGUUACCAUCAUUUGGUUGGGGACUCUAGAGAUACUGCCAAGGUUAACUUGGAGGAAGGUGGGGAUGACGUCAAGUCCUCAUGGCCUUUAUGUCCAGGGCUACACACGUGCUACAAUGGACGGUACAGAGGGUCGCAAUAUCGCGAGAUGGAGCCAAUCCCAAAAAGCCGUUCCCAGUUCGGAUUGGAGUCUGCAACUCGACUCCAUGAAGUUGGAAUCGCUAGUAAUCGCGGAUCAGCAUGCCGCGGUGAGUACGUUCCCGGGCCUU
rnacentral:rRNA from 1 species